UACGUAGGGUGCAAGCGUUUGUCCGGAAUUAUUGGGCGUAAAGAGCUCGUAGGUGGUUUGUCGCGUUGUUCGUGAAAACUCACAGCUUAACUGUGGGCGUGCGGGCGAUACGGGCAGACUAGAGUACUGCAGGGGAGACUGGAAUUCCUGGUGUAGCGGUGGAAUGCGCAGAUAUCAGGAGGAACACCGGUGGCGAAGGCGACUACCUGGCCCAUUCUUGACGCUGGAGGCGCGAAAGCUAGGGGAGCGAACGGG
rnacentral:rRNA from 1 species